UGGGGAAUAUUGCACAAUGGGCGCAAGCCUGAUGCAGCCAUGCCGCGUGUGUGAAGAAGGCCUUCGGGUUGUAAAGCACUUUCAGCGGGGAGGAAGGCGGUGAGGUUAAUAACCUCAUCGAUUGACGUUACCCGCAGAAGAAGCACCGGCUAACUCCGUGCCAGCAGCCGCGGUAAUACGGAGGGUGCAAGCGUUAAUCGGAAUUACUGGGCGUAAAGCGCACGCAGGCGGUUUGUUAAGUCAGAUGUGAAAUCCCCGGGCUCAACCUGGGAACUGCAUCUGAUACUGGCAAGCUUGAGGCUCGUAGAGGGGGGUAGAAUUCCAGGUGUAGCGGUGAAAUGCGUAGAGAUCUGGAGGAAUACCGGUGGCGAAGGCGGCCCCCUGGACAAAGACUGACGCUCAGGUGGGAAAGCGUGGGGAGCAAACAGG
rnacentral:rRNA from 1 species